UUCGAAUCAUGUUUGAUUUGAAGCCGGAUCGUCAACGUCGAGUCUCCAAAAAAUCGAGUGUAUCUAUACCCAUCGGAAGAUCGGGCCAGGGCUACAUCAUCCUAGCUCUCGCAAAGUGUAACGCCCGCAGAAAUCACUAAUUAAAUUCACCCGGUAAAAACUGUCUUUAAAACCUUUUUACCGCUGAGCUCCCGAAAAUCGGAAACCUCCUCGGCGAUUUCGCCGUCCCGGUACCCAUGCUGACCCCCACCUAUCUUUUUAUCUGUACCCCUGAAUCUCGCCGCGUGCCGUUGUCAGACGCCGUGCGCGUGCCCCGACCGCGUGCCGCGAGUGCCGCCGGUCUCUCCCUUUUCUUUCUCUUUUUCCUCCCCUUUUUCCGUUUUCUUUUUCCUUCUUCUUUCUUCCUCCUUCUCCUUUCUUCUUCCUCCCUCCUUCUCUCUCUUCCUCCUUCUUCUUCCUGGCACCCGGACCGUCCCCAGCUCCUUAACUCACC
rnacentral:lncRNA from 1 species